CGCGUUGGACGCAUAGGGGAUCAUUCCUCCUAAUAUGCCUACCACCAUUGUGGAGUUUAUGAUAUUUAUACACAAUUCACUUACAUAUUCAUAUAAUUUCCAAGAACUAAUCAUAUUCAUUACUUUUAUGAGAAAUCGUUAUAAUAUGUUGCUGCCUACAUCAACAUGCACACUACAGUCUCUAGGUGGUCUUCCAGGACCUUUAGUGGUCGUUUAUUUCAUCAUUCUCAUCUUCAUCACAGUGUCCUUUCUGUGAACUUGGUUCUGUCUUCCCCUUUCCCUUACGGCUGAGGCCACAAAACCAGUUGUGUCUGGUAUUUCUGCAAGCUUCAGCAUCCUUUUUCCAUUAUAUUGUUUUUCAUAGAUAGGUGUGUACCUAAAUCAUGUAAACAGACAGGCUCAAGCCUGUUAAUCAUUGAUAAAGUGUAUUGUAUUCCCUCAUUAGGCAGAUUCCUAAGCAGAACUACAAACAAGGUAUUACUACAUUAAGCAGUCCUUUAAACAGGCCCUGCCACUACUGAGAAUUUGUAAUUUUCCAUAUGUCUUCCCUCUUCAAUGUGAGUUACGCAGGAAUUUCUUGCAAACUACUGCCCAUCAGGAGGAUCCGUGUUACUGCUUUAGAACAGGACCAAUUUACCCAUCUGGCCUUGAUAAUAAAAUCUGGCCUUGAUAAUAAAACACUUACCCUUAGCAAGCGUUUUAUUCUAACUUGUAUAUUAAAUCAUCAGUUUUCCUUCCAAAGCACCUUCUGUUCAAUUGUUGGAAUAUUUUUACUUGUCCCACAAUUUUUUUUGUUUUAUUUCUUCCUUUUUUUUUUUUUUUUUUUUUUUUUUUUUCCUAGUUGUCACGGCGAUUGCACACCGGUCAGGCUGCCCUUUGCCGUGGAGCCGUUGCUGCACAACACGCAGCAGGAAGAGCCAGGCCCUCGGGUCUGGGCGGUGUUUGAGGCAGUGAUUUACAACCGCCUCCUGCCCCGGCUCAGGAAGCCGCUGAGGAAACGCGAGAAAAGAAACGAAAGCGCUGCCGCGGCGGCGGCGGCCACACGGUCCCAGCAGGCCCCGGCCUGCCCGCCCCCUCAGGCCUCCUCUGGGCGGGAAACGCGCGCACCGCCCCGAGCUCCUCUAGCGCGGCUUCCUAUUGGCGCUCACCCGGCCCCGCCGGCUGUGCCGCGCGCUGCCAUUGGCUGCUUGCCGCCGGGGGGGUGGGGCGAAGGCUGUUCCGCCUCGGCAUGGCUGGGCCUGCGGCGGGAUGGCGGCGGCGUGAGGGAGUGAGGGGCCCGGGGCAGGGCAGCUGGGGGCUCGGGGUGUGCGGGGAGGAAGCUAGAGAGGCUGAGGGGAGGGUGAUCCCGGCCGAGGUGGGGCAGCUGGGCAUGAGCGGGAUGCAGGGGGCUGAGGGCGGUUGGGUGGACAGGGGUAGAGGAACUGGGGACUGAACAGCUGCAAGGUUCCUGUGGGGCGAGAACGCGAGGAAGGAGGUGGGGAAUAAGGUUCAAAUGGGGGGCGUGAGGGAAGGGCUAGGUCAAAACAAGCCUCAGGACCCUUGGAGAGCCACCGACUCCAGCAAUGUUUAUAGCUGAACAAACACACGAGCUUUGAUUUGUGUGGAGAGACAACGUCUGUACUGGUGGUGCAAAGUACCAGCUCUUCCGUGUUGCUGUGCGACAGAGGUUCUUGGUGACAGCUUUACAUUAAUUUCUCUCUUUCUGUGGAGAAGGAAGCUUCUUUGGAGAAUAUGUACAUAGAAGUAUAGUUAUGGUGAUUUUUCUUUUAAGAGGAGAAGCCAUGUGAUUUCUGGUAAGGAAGCAUGGGAAGCAAUUCGGUUGUUAAUGUACUAAUUUUUUAGGAGUGCCUAGAAUGAGUUGUGAAUGUUCACUAAAUAUUUUUUAAAAGACUUGUAAAGUCAAGUUCUGAUAGUAAUGUAUUGGCUAACUCCAGUGCUGCUGUUAAUGUCAAUGUAAUUGUAUUAGGCAACAGAACAGAGCAUCCUGAUUGCAUAUAGAUGAUACAUGACUGUAUAGAAGUCACACAUUAGUAUGUAAGUCUAAAGUUUGGUUUAAUAAAGUUGGUGUUCCCUGAAAAA